CUGAGUUAGCGGUUAGCAGCAGGAGGAUGAGUCUGAGCUGAGGUGCUCUUGUGUUUUGCUGAAUUAAAGCGCGCUGCCAGGUUUCCUCCGCUGGAGUUUCAGCUCCUGUGAAGUUGCUGUGCAGAUGGAGCUGAGCAGGAGGAAAGUGCCUCUGUAUGGCCAGGCCAAGGUAUUUGCAUUGCUGGAGGGUUUAGACUCGGUGCCAGAGGAUGCAGAGGUCUACGUUGUUUUGGAAGGAUCCACACU